UAGACAGACACUGCAUAAUACUCAAGGUUAAGUUGGAAGGGACAUAUAUAAGCAAGUCAUCUAAAAGGACGUAUCUCUCUGGUGCCCAAAAACGGAAAAAGAAAAGGACAGAAGAUGAGAAAAAAGAGCAAGAUAAAGGAACACUGUUGAAGUAUUUUGGAGCACAACCAACUGUACCUGCCCCCGAUGUGUCAUCAAGUGUCAGUGCCUCCACAGCUGAUGAUACAGCAGGUUCACCCCCAGCAGACUUACAGUCACCUGAAAGUGAGGAAGAACUUUUACCCAUUGAGGAACAGUUACCAGCAUUGACAGUCACUGAUACACCGACUUCAACCUCUGCCGGCAUAACAGGUCAGUUAAUCUAACAGUUUUUGUUUUGUGUUGCCUUACUUAACUGUGAAAUAUCUUGUGUUAUGUUAUGAUUCUAUUUUUGUAUCUAAUGUC